GAUGGGGUUAUAGUCCUAGGGUAGGGUCAUAGGCCUGCCUUGUAGGUCCUACCCAAGGACUACCCCUCACAAAGGACAAGGCCCUUAGUCAGCUCCGACUGAAUUAAGGAGUCCCCAUCAUCCAGUCGGUAACAGGUCCUCGAUCAUCCAGUCGGAGACUAGCAUUCGGAGGAUAUCAAGCUAACCGACUGGAUACCACUCGGUACAUCGU
rnacentral:lncRNA from 1 species